rnacentral:rRNA from 1 species
AUGUUUGAUGUUCUAACGUGGACCCGUGAUCCGGGUUGCGGACAGUGUCUGGUGGGUAGUUUGACUGGGGCGGUCUCCUCCUAAAGAGUAACGGAGGAGCACGAAGGUUGGCUAAUCCUGGUCGGACAUCAGGAGGUUAGUGCAAUGGCAUAAGCCAGCUUGACUGCGAGCGUGACGGCGCGAGCAGGUGCGAAAGCAGGUCAUAGUGAUCCGGUGGUUCUGAAUGGAAGGGCCAUCGCUCAACGGAUAAAAGGUACUCCGGGGAUAACAGGCUGAUACCGCCCAAGAGUUCAUAUCGACGGCGGUGUUUGGCACCUCGAUGUCGGCUCAUCACAUCCUGGGGCUGAAGUAGGUCCCAAGGGUAUGGCUGUUCGCCAUUUAAAGUGGUACGCGAGCUGGGUUUAGAACGUCGUGAGACAGUUCGGUCCCUAUCUGCCGUGGGCGCUGGAGAACUGAGGGGGGCUGCUCCUAGUACGAGAGGACCGGAGUGGACGCAUCACUGGUGUUCGGGUUGUCAUGCCAAUGGCACUGCCCGGUAGCUAAAUGCGGAAGAGAUAAGUGCUGAAAGCAUCUAAGCACGAAACUUGCCCCGAGAUGAGUUCUCCCUGACCCUUUAAGGGUCCUGAAGGAACGUUGAAGACGACGACGUUGA